GGGGUAAUAUGCUAUAAUAAGCAGUCAGACUCAUAACCUGAAUAAGAGAUUGUUCUCUUUCCCCA
rnacentral:tRNA from 1 species